ACCAGCUUCCUUACUUCCUUGAUGGAAAAAGAAUCGCAAAUAAGCAUAAUGUGAAGAGCAUGAGCUUUGGAAUAAGCAAGCCUGGAAUUACAAUUUUCUUUUAUUAGCUCUGUGGCUGUAAUACUCAACUUUUGCAAGCUUCAGUUUCCUCGUCUGUGAAAUGGAAUAAUAGCACUUACCUCAUUGGCUGUUGUAUGGAUUAAAUGAGACCAUGACUAUGGAUGUAUGGCAUUUGGUACCCAAUAACCCCUCAAUAAUCGGCAGCUAUAAUUAUUCAUAAUAAUAAUGGUGGUAGCAACAAACCCAGCCCAAACAUCUGAAGGACCGAUCACUAAAAAGAAGAUGAACUCAGUCCUACGUAGUAACAAGAAUGUGACAUCUAUGUUGUUGCCAAAAGUCUGGAGGAGUUGCCAGGACCAGAGAGAAGGAGGUGGUGAGGCCGGCCUGGAAGAGGGAGGGGACAGAUGUCAAGGACCCCAAUCUUGAGGUGGAAAGUUCUGUGAUUAACCCAGAUGAAUGUCUCUAACCUCCAACUCUUCUGUUCUCAGAGUUUUAAUGGGGCACACCGUGUGCUGGGCAUUGACAUAGAUGGGAAAAGCAUGACCUAAAAUAAGGGCUGGAAGCCAAGACUGGGAGGAAGGGCAAAGGGAGCAGGCAGCCUGGCACCAGGUACCAGUGAGGUGUCUGCUCUUUGUCCCCAUCACCUGUCAGCUAAGGAAUUCUGCAUGUCAUCAGUGCAAUAAAAUGUGAUCGCCAGAGUGAAAACCUUGUAAUAGACCAGCUGUGGCUUCUCUCAACACCAGUAUGUCCAAGGAGGAUGCAUUUUUAUUGCUUUUGUGGUCUUAACAAAAAAGAUUCAUGAGCAUUGUAUAAAAGGCAUAUUAAAACAAUUCGGUAAAAGGAUGAAAGAAAAAUAGAGUGCUUGUAGAUUUUUUUUCAGGACGCACACACCUAUACCUGUAUAAAAACGUUGUAUUACGGAAGCUCUC
rnacentral:lncRNA from 1 species